UAUUUCCAAAUUAUAGAGGUACAGAUAGAUAUAAAAAGAUCCAUAGAUGGGUCCUAAUUUUUAGUCAUUCCAUCAUUAUAUCAUGGUACAUGAUAAAAUAUUUAAUCCUGUUAGUUACUUGUUUAAUGUUACAAUUAUGUGACUCUUAUAGUCAGACUUAUUGAGAUUUAAAACCUGAAUUUGGCAAUUAUAGCUGGUCAUACUUGCUUGUGCUAUGAUUUUCUCAAACUCGAAAAUGAGGUUUAAAGUGAGAAAAAUAGUAUAUUCAAAAUCCCAGCAGGAGCCUAGCAAAAAAAAAAAUGUUAUCAAUUAUUUUAUUACCUAAGAGUAAAAGUGUUUACCCUGUACACUUAAAAAUCAUUUUCUGAUUAUUUUUCUCAAAUUUUUGAUUGACAGGGUUGAUUUGAUUAUGGAGGAAAAAUGAUCUGAGGUUAAAGUGAGGAAAGAAUACAGUAGCAUUCAUCAGUGCCUAAUGGAGUCCCACUUCAGAACUCCUGCGAACUGUUUCUAAAGGUGGUGAACCAGCGAUCAGAGGACAACCACCUACAAUUAAGCAGCACAUCAGCAGAGAGCACAGUGAAAGCAACUUAUUUUCUUACCAUUUUAUCUGCCAUCUCACAGAGGGGGGUGCACUACUUAUUGGUACUCGUUUCUCUUCAUUGUAGAGGUAAAAUGGAGCAAGGAGAAUUAUCUCAGAUAUAGUCCCUCAAAGAAUUACACUCUCCAAAAGGCCUUGAGUACUCACUGUUUAGAGAAUUUGAAAUUAAAUCUUUGGUGGAGCUGCAUAAAAUAGACCAUGAGAUUUCUUCUAUUAUUAGGAUAUAAAAUGUCCAUGGAGAAUCAAAUGAAAGAGGUUAUACUCUUUAUAUUUUAUAUACUAUAUAGUAACCAUUUUUCUCAUUGAUUCAAAUUCUGUGGUGAGUUUUAAUUGUGCAAUUUAAAUAUAUUUGUUUAAAUAAAAAUUGUAGAAACAAA